rnacentral:rRNA from 1 species
AGGGAUCAUUACCGAGUGUAAAAACUCCCAAACCAUUGUGAACUUACCACUGUUGCUUCGGCGGCCUCGCCCCGGGCGCGUUCGCGCGGCCCGGACCCAGGCGUCCGCCGGAGGCUUCAAACUCUUGUCUUUUAGUGUAUUUCUGAGUGGCAUAAGCAAAUAAAUCAAAACUUUCAGCAACGGAUCUCUUGGUUCUGGCAUCGAUGAAGAACGCAGCAAAAUGCGAUAAGUAAUGUGAAUUGCAGAAUUCAGUGAAUCAUCGAAUCUUUGAACGCACAUUGCGCCCGCCAGUAUUCUGGCGGGCAUGCCUGUCUGAGCGUCAUUUCAACCCUCAGGACCCGUUCGCGGGACCUGGCGUUGGGGAUCAGCCUGCCCCUGGCGGCGGCUGGCCCUGAAAUACAGUGGCGGUUCCCUCGCGAACUCCUCCGUGCAGUAAUUAAACCUCUCGCGGCAGGAUAGCGGUUGAACCACGCCGUUAAACCCCCCACUUCUCAAGGUUGACCUCAGAUCAGGUAGGAAUACCCGCUGAACUUAA